UGCACAGCUGUUUGCUCCCCCAGGUAUUAAUCACUUACUCUGAGUUUAUUAAUAAACAAAAGUAUAAAAAGUAGGAUUUAAGUGGUUACAAGUAAUAACAGCCAGGACAAAGCAAGUCACAAAGCAAAAUAAAACAAAACACGCGAGUCUAAGCCUAAUACAUUAAGAAACUGAUUACAGGUAGCAAGUUUCAGAAUAGCAGCCGUGUUAGUCUGUAUUCGCAAAAAGAA